GCUGAACGCUAGCUACAGGCUCAACACAUGCAAGUCGAGGCACCGGCGCCCGGGUGAGUAACACGUAUCCAACCUGCCCUUUACCCGGGGAUAGCCUUUCGAAAGAAAGAUUAAUAACCGAUAUCAAGGCUGGGGAUGCGUUCCAUUAGGUUGUUGGUGAGGUAACGGCUCACCAAGCCUUCGAUGGAUAGGGGUUCUGAGAGGAAGGUCCCCCACAUUGGAACGGAGACGCGGGCCAAACUCGUAGGGGAGGAAGCAGUGAGGAAUAGUUGUCAAUGGGCGCUAGUCUGUAGCUGGCAAGUAGCGUGAAGGAUGUAGGCUUAUGGUUCGUAAACUUCUUUUAGAUAAGAAUAUGUAUUAUAUGAAUAAGGAACGGCUAACUCCGUGCGAGCAGCCGCGGUAAUAC
rnacentral:rRNA from 1 species